CUUAUGUCUUUAUUAUUUUGGACAAAAGGCACAUUCUAAUAACGGGAUGUAUUGAUCCAAGAAAAAUGCACUUUACAGUGCACUUUACGGCGACUCUGGAUCCUGUUUAUUCCUUAUUUUAGCUUUUAUCGAGCGAUAAUGCACAACUAUCCGGAAUCUUUAUAACAUCUCAAGCCAACUCACACGCUACCCACUUUUUAUUUUCAGGCUCAAAGCGCCUGAUAACCACAUACUGCUGCAUUCAACUUCAAAUUCUAGGCAUUCCCUUUCCCGAGCACAAGAUAUAAAAACGUACAGGUAGUAUUCCAGUUACAAUCGUGCUCUGUUAAUUCCCUGCACCUGCAGGCGAGCUUCUAAAUCCUGAGCUCCAACUUGAACAGCGCCCUGAGCGAGUCGUGCCGUGCCGAGCACAGCCGACUUAAAACUUCUUCCCAGCGAGGCCGACCCGGCGGCAGCCCCAUUAGGUUGUAAUGCUCUCUAAUAUAACCCGAGUCCACCGUCUAAUAGAUCCAGGCAGGCCUGGCGGCGGCUUUCCCCCUUCGGUAAUAACGGGCUGUAAUGGAGAGACGAGAUGUAAAAAAGCGUCCAUGUCAGCAGCAUAUCGGUGGUUAAUGAUCUAUUAAGUGAUCCGUGUGCUUAUGGACAGCGAAAAAAAGUGUUGAUGCUUGCUUAUUCUCCCCUAAUGAGAGUCCCAUCCUACGGAUUUUAGGAAUGAAUAACAGAAAUAAAAUCACCUUUAAAAUGUUACAUUUAACAGUUGACGCAUGGAGGCUGCAGAGGCUGCACAGCUUCCCACAGCUCACAUCUCACACCUGCAGCGGGCCCGCUGGUUUCACACAGGAGGCCCGUGGUCUGUCCAUUGGAAGAUACAUGAUUCGCCUCACAAAUAUGGAUUUCUAUUCUACUUCAGGACCUAUCCAUGCAUACGCAUCUGCGCUCCGGUGGUCAGGCUGCACUGCCAAAACCCGUUGGAUCUCAACUCAAACUCGAUCUGUAUGGAAAGACAGUGAUUAUAAGGAACACCUUUUUCCCCCUUUCUUUUAGAAUCAGAAUCAACUUCUCUGUUUAACUCUAAGGUAAAUUUUUGUUUUUAUUUGAGUAUAUUUUUGCUAUCUGGCGCGCGUAAACUUUAACGGUCUCCUCGAAAGUUGCUGGAAGUGUUACAGAAAAAAGGGAGGUAGCCGAGCUGGAAGGCCCGCAACGGGGAGGGUGAGGGAUGGAGAUGGGGAGACGAUGCUUUCGGAAGUGCUGCUUUGAUGCGUUUUGAUGCAGGAGGGAGAAAAGAGACACGCAGAGCAGACGUGCAGACCCGGCUCCAGCCUCUGAUACACGCCUUCAUUGCGCAGUAACUGAUUUAAAAUGUUUUCUUUGAGAUGUAAUAUACGCAAAUGUAAAACAAACUUAGUAGCUUUUUGUCAAUGUAACAAUCACCCUGCGUUUAAUUUAAGUUGUAUUUUUGUAGUUUUGCAGAAUCAAUAUCUGAAAAAGGGUCGCUGUGAGUUUGACAAGAAUGCAUGGUCGUUUUUGUGCAACGAAUUAACUGAUUCAUGAUUAAUUAUCAAUAUUUUAUAGCUGAAACAUUUGAAAUGCACUUCAUCACUAAAAGUGCAUAAUGCAUUUAACAGGCGGAAUCGCAGUAUAAACAGGUGUUCCCAUCAUUAACGUGAUGGGUUUCGGUGUAAAAUAGUAAUAACACCAGCAAAUCCGUCUCUAAAAUUUAAGUUUCAUUAUACACUCAGUCGUCCUUUUGCAUCAGUAAUCUACAUCUUCCGUUUACAAGGUGAGAGUUACUCAGGCAUUCUUGUUUACUCCAGACUGAUCGAUUAUCUCCGUGAAAACAUGUAUUAUUAAGACGUGUCGUCUAUGUAAACAGGCAGAGGCCAGCCUCUGAAGAAGAGUAACAUUCCCAUCAGGGAUAAUUGACUGAAGAGACUUUCGGGGAAACGGCAAGAGUAAUUACUGCAGGUUAAGUGCACGUCCCGGAGCCCAGUGGAGGCAGCUCUAUCCCUCACCUGGGACAUGACUCAGCACACUUCAGGUCAUCCGGCCAUUUCCCUGACCACUGGACCACACCCCGACCUACUCUAAACCCGCAGGACAGCCACGUUCGCUUCCAUCACGUAAUGGAAGCUGUCAGCCCCCCAGCCCCGAUGGCUACUUGUUUUUAGAAGACCAAAGGCAAGGAUGGGAAAAAAAAGUUGCUGCUAAUUUACAGUAUGAGUUUUUACCUGCAUUUUGAGACUCCGGAUGUAAAUCAAUGGCAGCAGAUACCGGCCUCUAGAGUUGGAAAGGUCCGGAAUUCCCACUGAUUUUGAGCAUUGGGAGUUCCCUACAAAGCCAGUGAACCUUUACUCUGGUACUUAAGUCUGGCUGUGCUGGUGGAGAUUCACUUUAAUAGGCAUAAUUAAUAAUGAGCACUACGCUGCCACAUUAGAAUCAGAGGCACAAGCAGGCUGCUACAAUGCUAAACUUUAUUUUAGCAUUGUAGAUGAAGUAGAUGCAUUUAUUAAGCUAGUUUCUGGCCUAGUUUAUUAGGCAUAUUUAUAAUAAUAAUUCUUUUGUAUUUAUAACUAAUCUUCCCAAGAUGCAUCUUAUCUGGUUACUUAUUCUGUCUCUUCCUCAGGUGGAGAAAGAGCCCUCACUUUGUUGGAUAUAUGGGAGCAAUUACACCCCCAUCAUGAAGAGACUGUGGACCUAUGCUGAAUGUUCCCCUUUCAUUACUCGUUUUAGCUUUAUUAGUUUUAUUACAUUUUGGAAGUUUUACCUUGUUUCACAAAACACACACCCACACAUCAAACCACCAGCAGUUAGAGCUGAUGUUGUGUGGUAAUAAUAAUUCAGCUGUUACAUACAUCUCAAUCUCAGAUUUCCCCAGAAUGGGUUAGAAACAGUAAAGGGGCUUUUCACUGACUGCUGGUUUGCCUUCCAGCACAUUAUUUGACUUACUUAUCAUCAGGCAGUGCCUUGACAUACUUAAGGACAGAUCAUCAUGAAGUGAAAAUAGGUUUACUCAUUCCUGUUUAUCACUGUGAUGCUCUCUAAAUCUGCUGCCUUCUGUAGGGAUGGUGGGUAAAAAAGCUAUAGGCUUGAGCUUGCUAGGAUCCUUUCUGUCAUGGAACGAUGACAGGAGGCCGAUUAUGCCGGAGUGCCAUAUUGUAAACUACUCAUCAUUAGCGGGCCCAUCCCAGCUAACGACUGCACUGGAGAUAAACAGUAGCGACGUGGAGAGCCAUCUUAAUCGGGAGAGCUGUUUAAAAGUGGGGCUCUGUCAUUAAGCACAGCUGUAUCACACCAGGAUAUGGGAAAUGCCGAGCUGUAAAGCUGCACGCUGAAGCUGGCUCAGAUCCCAGCCCCAAGCUCUGCGGGGGUCCUGUGUUGUUCUGAUUGCCCCUUUAAAUCCAAAAUGAUCAAGAAUAGAAAGAUAAGUGUCUAAAACAACCGGCCAAAUGAAAUUAUUAUCCACCAUUGACGGGCUCCAGUCAAAGCCUCCCAGGGACACUCAAACUUCAGUCAUUAGUGUAGAAUCUGGUAGGGGGGUGGGGGUCGGGGGUUGAAUUUGUAGUUUGUGUGAAUCCUACUCCCUCGUCCUUCUGUCUCCUUUGCUCUGUUUAUGCACCCCCCACCCCACCCCCUUUUUUUCCCGUCUCACUUUCCAAAAUCAUCAGUGGCUUCAGAGAGAAAACAAACAGAUCUGUAGCCAUGAGACUAAUACUCCUCUGUAAUGAUAAAAAGACAAAAUAACAACAACUCUGAGGAGGAUCUGCUUGUCUUUCCAGGUCAAUAAUCUUGCUGUUUAGACAAAUGAAUAUAGGAAGUAAUAUCAUCAUGCUGACAGAUUUCAAAACAUGUUCACUGUCAUUCUCUUCCCCUAAUUCCCAGUGACUGAAGGACACAUUUACUGUUUUACAUGUUUUAGUUGGAAGAGUUAAUAACCACUUGUAGAUCUGGAUAAGGCCCAAGAUUUUUCCAGCAAUGAUCGCAUUUGCAUCAUUUACUUCCCUCCUUUCGAUCACAAGAUUUUGAUAACCAGCAAUCUACUUACACUAACAGUAAACCUAGCAGAAGCAAAAGUCUGAUAUUUUGGCUGAAAUAAAUGACUUACAAGUAGUAAUGGAAGAGCUCAGCAAAGAAGACUAACAAGUUUAUUUAGUUUAACUAUCAUUACAUCCCAUAUUCUUUUUUGUUUAAACUAAACUUUUUUAGGAUUCUCCCAGAUUCCGAUCUUUUAUAUACAUUUCCUGCAUGGCACUCUCAUCAUAUCUCCCAAUAACCCACUCUGUUGUCCUGCAGGCGGACAGGCCUGAGUUGUCUGGACAGGCCGUAGCUCUCCCUACAAAUGCUUGAACAAUUGGAGGUAAAUACGUUGGAGACAGCCCAUUUGUUUUGGGCCGGCGGUGAUGCAUGCUUUUGCAGUGAGCAGCACAUUUUUACCACGCAGCCCAAAGUAGCUGUGAGUAAUGGACUGCUCUGGCCUGUCCACUCAUACUGCUAUUUUUAUUAUUGUCUCCCUUAUAGUUUUCAUUUUUCAUAUCAGGGUAGAGAGAGAGAAAGAGAGUGAGAGAGAGAGAGCAGCAUCAUUCCCUUCAAGUAUAUUCCUUCCCUAAAAGAGGCGGGAAGUGAGGGGCCCACAUCCUCCGUUCCACUCACUUCAUCAUCUCCCAUGAACCGUCCCUUGUUUUUUUUUUCAGUCAGACUGACAGAUUUCGUUGGAUGCCAGAAGAGACACAUAAGGGAUUAUCAACAGACAGAACAAUAAUUCAGGUUGGACAGCUUCAUAAUAAUUUUUCAUCGAUCCAUCACUGUGUUUCUGUGGCAUGUUGUCUGGUUCAGCCUCUGGGGAUUGUUGGGAUCUUGGGAUAUUCUGAGAUGGCAGACCUGUGAAUCUGUUCUGAAAGAAAAAAAACAGCAAAGACAAGGUUGGAAAAGCUCAAAUGAAACUGCAUAAAAAUGUGUACUUAAUGCAGAAUCUGUAACAACGGAGCCGAUAAAGCUCGACUCUGUCUUUGAAGAUGAUUCACUAAGUAUCUAAAAUUAUAUGCCGCCGCUGGCUCCGCAGGGAGAAGACUGGUAUUUUGCAUUGAGGCACUCAUAUGGGCACCUAUAAUGGGUGCCUCUUAAUUCUACUGACAGCUUUACAGGAGCUGAGUUAUGAAGCCACAGCAAUGCUGCUCGUUAGGCCCGCGCCAGGCUUCACGCUGGGUUACACUAAUACACCUCCUCCCCCCUCCCGUGCUCUUUCACCCUUCACACACGGGCAUAAAAUUCAGCCACACAUUUACGAAGACUAGCUCAUCCUCACACAGACACAGAGAGCUACUGGCCCACACAAUUCCUUUACAGAGCUUUCUAGUGUAAUGGGGGUGAUUUGUUCAAGUAGUUCAGCUGGUGUUGGCAUCAGAUUUAUUUCCUUGCUUCUACCCUUCAUUUUCUGCUCUUGUUCUCCACCUACACUAUCUUCUCCUCUUAUCCUCUCUCCUAUCAUGUCCACCAGGCCAACACCCUCUCCCUUGCCGCGCUGCGUCCUGCUGGGUGAUCCAUCUCUGUCAGCCUGCUAAAAUGAUAAUGCCAAUUAAAGCAGAGGAGUAAUUGCCCUCCACUGCCUCUCAUCCGCUGCAGACCCUCAACAGGAGCCCUGGUUCCAAAUAUGAAUGAGACCUCAGGCCCCAAGAGGCCCUUUCUGGGUGAGCAUGAGGACAGGUGGAGAAGACUAGAGGAGGAGGAGGAGGAGGUGGGGUGGAGUGCAGACAAGGGGGGGGUGGGGUGAUUUGUAACUUUUAACCUCCACUGAUCACCAAUGGCCUUGGAAAAGAAAGGGGGUGAGGGGGAUAUCACGCACACACAUAGACAGACACACAAACACACAGGCAACGAUGCUGGUAAUUGUUGCACAUGGAUGAGCACACACACACACACACACACACACUCAAGGUCGCUGUCAAAGGACUUAUGGCUCUUGCCAUUGCACACAGACUCUCAGUGUGAGGAGCCAAAUAGGAAGUGAAAGGACUAUCUGGCAGUGGACUGUAACACCACUGAUCAGAGGUGACAUAGCUGCACUCUCAGGUCAGCCAGGCAGCCAUUAUUACCAGCGUCCCUAUCACAAAUUCAGUGUUUUUGUCUUUCUUUUGAUAAGUGCACAGACACACAGUGGGGUUCUCAAAAUCUAAACAAUGAUCUGUGUGACUUUUUGUGUCCUUUUUUUCAUUUCUAGAAAAAGAGUGGACUGAACAAGGUGCCACUGCAUGUUUAGUUACGUUUUUGAUGCAUGUUCACUGUACAUUUGUUACUAUUCUGUAUGUGUUUAAUAAGAAUUGGGUGUCACGUUGGCCUGAAAUAAAUGAUUAUU